rnacentral:lncRNA from 1 species
CGAAUAAACAAAUUUAUAAAAUAAUCAAAAAGUUCGUGCCAAUGGAAUGAAUUUGGGACAACAGAAUCACUUUACUGCACCAGAGACUCCCUGCGCCUGCGCCCUGCCCAGUAAGCCCGACCCUCGAAGAAGAAGAACAGUGCUGGAAAGUAAUGUUUGUUUACAUAUUGUCUACGGACCGGAGUCCAGGGCGGUCCUCAACGUUGUCCUUUUGUUCUUUGUAGCUACUCUCGGACACAAAUAAAUGUAUUCAAGUGGCAACAAUGCAGUAACGCUGGAAAGUACAACACGCGACACAUUGAAGUAAACGGGAGUGAGCCUUCUGCCUUGCAGCUGACUUCAGCUGAGGCAUGGCUGAGGCGGUGUGGACCAUGUGGCUGAUUAGGUUAUGAUAAUAGUUUGGUUUUGGAGUUGGCAAAUAUUCAUGAUAAUAUCCAUUCUCUUGGAUGACAGUGUUUAGAACUGGUCCCUAGUUUCGACAGGAGUUAUUUAUGGUGUAUUUAGCGUUAUCGCGUUAUCAGUCACUGACUUAUAAUAGGCGACACAUAGUCAUUUUGCCGAGUUUUGUCAUGUUAUCGGUCACCUGUUGGCAUCCUGUUGGUCACUUUUUUAGAUUGAAAUAUCAAUCAUGUAAUGGAAGAGGUUCCUUUUACGCCUCUACGAUAUUGUAGAAAAGAGAUAACAUAUUCGGAGUAGUGAGACUGUGCCCACUGUGAUGUCAUGCAUUAGUUCAUUUCAGGAUUUUAUAUCAUAGUAAACAAUGGCUACAUUGAAUCUACGGGUGACCACAACGAAAACAUCUUACAAAUCAAACAAAUCUCCCUUCGGAACCUUAUCAAGAGACCUAUUAGAAUCGCUUAGCAUACGUCCUAGGAUUAAUCAUGCUGAGCUUUCAAGUGAAUUAUUGGCAGUUGACUCAUUGGACGCUCAAUUAAGGAUACUUCAUCAAAGAGUUGAAGAAGAAUUAAAUCAGACACCAUGGAAACAUCGGAGUCUCUUGAGUAUUUGCUGCUGUUGUACUUUAAAUUACCUCCACCAAAUCCGCUGAAAGCCAGAUUGCUCAAAUUGUUCAAAAAGUGGUCGGGAGAGAAAGAGAAGUCCUUCAAGAAAUUUUGGGAUCAUACUAUAUCUUCUAUUUUGGCUGAGGAAAAGAUGGACUCCUCAAUCAGCGUGAAGAAUAUUACCACUCUUCUGGAGUAUUUUGAAGAUAAUACUCACUUGCUCAUGGGUCUGUAUCUACCGUUCAUAAAAUAUGUUGAGUGUGUGAUCAAAACAACCAUUGAUAGCAGUUUAAAUCCAGGACUGUUACCUUCGCAGAAAUUGAGUUGUUAUGAGUGCAUUCAUAACUGCGUUCGAGCUUUUUUGCUGAUCAUCAGCUCCUCUGUUGAUCAAAGGAUUGUUGCAGACCUUGAUGAUAAAGGCAUUCUGAAUACCUUAGAAACGCUCAUGCAAAAUUCUGAGUUACCUUUAGAUACAAAAUUGAACUGUGGUCUGCUCUUCAUGCGAAUAACUUUGAAAGCAAAGGGAGAGUCAGAUUUUUUUAAAACUUUUCAGAGAUGUGUAAUCGAUCAUCCACCAAGUUUACAUGACAGCACCCAUGGAGUUUGUGAUUUGUUGACACAGAUCUCUUGCUGUGCACCUUUGUUAAAUACUUUCACAAUCCCAGAAUUGAACAGCAGGCAUAUCGGAAAAUCAAGUUCCUCCGUGUUCUCAGAAUUUAUGUGUUUCUGUUUAACAUGACCAAAACCCCUGCAAUUGAUAAAAACACUAUCUUAGCUCUAAAUAUUACAAUCGAAAGAUUGGCGGAACAACUGUCAAAGUAUCCUGCGCAUGCUGAAAUGGAGCUCUCGCAAAGUUUUUGAACUACAUUAUAACACACAUUGAUCACUAUCUGGACACAGUGAGGCAUAGGACAAAACAAUUUUUGAGCAUUUCAUCAAUUUCACUUCAUCUAGCACAUCCAUGAGAGAUGAAUUAAUUACUUCCUUGAGGGAAUCAAAGAUGACAAGUCGUUUUUCUGUUUUGGCA